rnacentral:lncRNA from 1 species
CGGCCUUCAGGACUCAGAGGCCUUUUGUGUGCCCAGAAGGGUGCACACAGUGGGUGACUGGAGUUGACUAUUGAUGAGCCAAGGCUACAGGAUGCACCCAGCCAGCCCUCCACCCACCUACACACACCCACAGGGAUUUAAUCCUGGGCCACUUCAACUUGACUUCUACUGUAUUUCAUCAUGACACAUUUGUAUAUUUUUUUCUGAAGCAAAAGGAACAUCUCAUGCUCAAUCAAUAAGAUUUUUCUACCCAUACAGGGCCUAGUGUGUCCUAGCAUAUAUAGGAAGAGAUAUAGCAAUAAACACGUAAACAAGUAAAAUAUUAACCAGCUAAAUAUCUCACAGUAAUGAAUGCCCCCUUCAGGGAGGUCGAAUAGGGUGAUGUGGUAGUGAUAAACUGGGUGGCUGUUUCCGAUUCAGAGGUCAAGGAAAGCCUCUCUGAGGAGGUGACAUUUAAGCUAAGAUCUGAAUGUCACAAAGUUACCAGCCCUGUGAAAGUCCUGGCAAAGUGCAUUCCGGGUGGAGGAAAGAGCUGGUCCAAGGCUUGGUGGCAUGUGCAGAAAGAGGAGAGGAGCUGCCAGCUCCAGCCAGUACAUCAGACCACUCACCUGCAGCUGGCCUGCCACGCACGCACUCUGCCCUCCUCCUGUAACAAGACAAGCUGCAUAUGCUCCAGCCAUGAUGACUGCAUCCCAUCUGCUCAGGACACCAGGGAGAGAACAGCCCAGCCAUCCUGGCUCUCUCUCCUGCAUCACAAUGUGCUUUCUUUCUGCUGGAUCACCCCUGUUAACAGGUUGUUCCCACCCCUUAGGAUGCCUUCUCCAGCUCCUAAGGCCCGGGUCCCAGGGCAGCUCUUCCAUUCAGCUUACUCCAUCUCCCCACAAAGAAAUCCACCCACCAGAGCUAUCGCCAGGACACCCACACCAUCGUCAACACACAAAUGACCUGCUCAUCAGGCAUCUGUUGCUUCUUUCCCCAUCACAACAGGCAGUCUUGCUUGCUGGAGCUGUAAGCUGUCCCUGCAGCGGAACAGAACUUCAAUCUGGCCUUGAGGCUAAGGAGGAGGAAAGGCUGUAAAUAAAGAUUUAACUUCCCUGGUUCCUGAGUCAUCUUAGAAACUGAAGACAAAAUAAACUCUUUACAGUUUAAAAAGUCAAAUAAAUGAUUAUACAGAUUAUUGACCAUGUCAAAAUCUAAAACUUAUUUAAAGAUAUUUAAGUCCUUUAUCUCACCUCUUUAAAAGUUUAUGAUUUUAACAGGAAAUCUUGUUAUUUGCAACAACAUGCAUAAAUCUAAAGAAGAAUAUGCUAAUUGAAAUAAGCCAGGC